ACGCUCGACACCUACGGGGAGACAGCAGGUAGGGAAUCUUCCACAAUGGGACGCAAGUCUGAUGGAGCAACGCCGCGUGAGUGAAGAAGGUCUUCGGAUCGUAAAACUCUGUUGUUAGAGAAGAACACGAGUGAGAGUAACUGUUCAUUCGAUGACGGUAUCUAACCAGCAAGUCACGGCUAACUACGUGCUAGCAGCCGCGGUAAUCUGAGCGGGCUGGCAAGGC
rnacentral:rRNA from 1 species